UAAUCAUCAAUAAUAUACUAUAAAUUAAUAUUUACAUUAAUAACUCAAGCGGUGCCUAGUUCAUUUGCCAAUUUCAGCUAACUGGUCUAGAAAAUAACUCAAGCAUCCGAAAAUCAGCAGCAGUACCUAGUUCAUUUGCACUUAAGCUCCUGCUACACCAGUACCUAAAGAACAAAUUGUUUCAAACAAGCAUUUUAUCAAACAUCUGGAGUGCAUUAAAAAAAAACAAUUUGNGAUCGCUGGAUUUGAUGGUGGGAAAGGGAACAAUUUUCCAUGGUUUGUUGAGAAGUUCACGAACUGAUUCUACGGAAGAAGAAGACAUUUGAAAAAUGAUGAUGAUAUUAAAGGAUCAAGGUUUAUAGGUUUAGAAAUUGUUGAGUUGAGAAGAGAAAGAGAGAAAUUGUUGAACGUGAUUUUGAGUUGAGAAAGAGAGAUCGAGAGAAAUUUGAUGAAGGAAGGAAGAGAGAGAGUGUGAGAGAAGCUGAUUUGUGAGAAAAGAGAGUCAUGUGAUUGACUUACCAUAGUUUCUUAAUCCUACUCCUUCAUUAAAAUCUAAUGGUCAUAAAUUAUUCUCAUAUUCUCAUAUAACUUUACCAUUCUCAUAAUAUACAUCCUAUAUAUAUAUAUAUAUAUAUAU
rnacentral:lncRNA from 1 species